rnacentral:rRNA from 1 species
AGAAGCGCAUACGGUGGAUGCCUUGGCAGUCAGAGGCGAUGAAAGACGUGGUAGCCUGCGAAAAGCUUCGGGGAGUCGGCAAACAGACUGUGAUCCGGAGAUGUCUGAAUGGGGGAACCCAGCCAUCAUAAGAUGGUUAUCUUGUACUGAAUACAUAGGUGCAAGAGGCGAACCAGGGGAACUGAAACAUCUAAGUACCCUGAGGAAAAGAAAUCAACCGAGAUUCCCUUAGUAGUGGCGAGCGAACGGGGACCAGCCCUUAAGUUGUAUUGAGAUUAGCGGAACGUUCUGGAAAGGACGGCCAUAGUGGGUGAUAGCCCUGUACGCGAAAAUCCCUUUGCAAUGAAAUCGAGUAGGACGGGGCACGAGAAACCUUGUCUGAAUAUGGGGGGACCAUCCUCCAAGGCUAAAUACUACUGACUGACCGAUAGUGAACCAGUACCGUGAGGGAAAGGCGAAAAGAACCGCGGAGAGCGGAGUGAAAUAGAUCCUGAAACCGUAUGCGUACAAGCAGUGGGAGCCCACUUUGUUGGGUGACUGCGUACCUUUUGUAUAAUGGGUCAGCGACUUAUUUUCAGUGGCGAGCUUAACCGAAUAGGGGAGGCGUAGCGAAAGCGAGUCUUAAUAGGGCGUCUAGUCGCUGGGAAUAGACCCGAAACCGGGCGAUCUAUCCAUGGGCAGGUUGAAGGUUGGGUAACACUAACUGGAGGACCGAACCGACUACCGUUGAAAAGUUAGCGGAUGACCUGUGGAUCGGAGUGAAAGGCUAAUCAAGCUCGGAGAUAGCUGGUUCUCCUCGAAAGCUAUUUAGGUAGCGCCUCAUGUAUCACUGUAGGGGGUAGAGCACUGUUUCGGCUAGGGGGUCAUCCCGACUUACCAAACCGAUGCAAACUCCGAAUACCUACAAGUGCCGAGCAUGGGAGACACACGGCGGGUGCUAACGUCCGUCGUGAAAAGGGAAACAACCCAGACCGUCAGCUAAGGUCCCAAAGUCAUGGUUAAGUGGGAAACGAUGUGGGAAGGCUUAGACAGCUAGGAGGUUGGCUUAGAAGCAGCCACCCUUUAAAGAAAGCGUAAUAGCUCACUAGUCGAGUCGGCCUGCGCGGAAGAUGUAACGGGGCUCAAACCAUGCACCGAAGCUACGGGUAUCAUCUUAGGAUGAUGCGGUAGAGGAGCGUUCUGUAAGCCUGUGAAGGUGAGUUGAGAAGCUUGCUGGAGGUAUCAGAAGUGCGAAUGCUGACAUGAGUAACGACAAUGGGUGUGAAAAACACCCACGCCGAAAGACCAAGGUUUCCUGCGCAACGUUAAUCGACGCAGGGUUAGUCGGUCCCUAAGGCGAGGCUGAAAAGCGUAGUCGAUGGAAAACAGGUUAAUAUUCCUGUACUUCUGGUUAUUGCGAUGGAGGGACGGAGAAGGCUAGGCCAGCCUGGCGUUGGUUGUCCAGGUUUAAGGUGGUAGGCUGAGAUCUUAGGUAAAUCCGGGAUCUUAAGGCCGAGAGCUGAUGACGAGUGUUCUUUUAGAACACGAAGUGGUUGAUGCCAUGCUUCCAAGAAAAGCUUCUAAGCUUCAGGUAACCAGGAACCGUACCCCAAACCGACACAGGUGGUUGGGUAGAGAAUACCAAGGCGCUUGAGAGAACUCGGGUGAAGGAACUAGGCAAAAUGGCACCGUAACUUCGGGAGAAGGUGCGCCGGUGGAGGUGAAGCAUUUACUGCGUAAGCCCCUGCCGGUCGAAGAUACCAGGCCGCUGCGACUGUUUAUUAAAAACACAGCACUCUGCAAACACGAAAGUGGACGUAUAGGGUGUGACGCCUGCCCGGUGCCGGAAGGUUAAUUGAUGGGGUUAGCGCAAGCGAAGCUCUUGAUCGAAGCCCCGGUAAACGGCGGCCGUAACUAUAACGGUCCUAAGGUAGCGAAAUUCCUUGUCGGGUAAGUUCCGACCUGCACGAAUGGCGUAACGAUGGCGGCGCUGUCUCCACCCGAGACUCAGUGAAAUUGAAAUCGCUGUGAAGAUGCAGUGUAUCCGCGGCUAGACGGAAAGACCCCGUGAACCUUUACUAUAGCUUUGCACUGGACUUUGAAUUUGCUUGUGUAGGAUAGGUGGGAGGCUUUGAAGCGUGGACGCCAGUCUGCGUGGAGCCAACCUUGAAAUACCACCCUGGCAACUUUGAGGUUCUAACUCAGGUCCGUUAUCCGGAUCGAGGACAGUGUAUGGUGGGUAGUUUGACUGGGGCGGUCUCCUCCUAAAGAGUAACGGAGGAGUACGAAGGUGCGCUCAGACCGGUCGGAAAUCGGUCGUAGAGUAUAAAGGCAAAAGCGCGCUUGACUGCGAGACAGACACGUCGAGCAGGUACGAAAGUAGGUCUUAGUGAUCCGGUGGUUCUGUAUGGAAGGGCCAUCGCUCAACGGAUAAAAGGUACUCCGGGGAUAACAGGCUGAUACCGCCCAAGAGUUCAUAUCGACGGCGGUGUUUGGCACCUCGAUGUCGGCUCAUCACAUCCUGGGGCUGAAGCCGGUCCCAAGGGUAUGGCUGUUCGCCAUUUAAAGUGGUACGCGAGCUGGGUUUAGAACGUCGUGAGACAGUUCGGUCCCUAUCUGCCGUGGACGUUUGAGAUUUGAGAGGGGCUGCUCCUAGUACGAGAGGACCGGAGUGGACGAACCUCUGGUGUUCCGGUUGUCACGCCAGUGGCAUUGCCGGGUAGCUAUGUUCGGAAAAGAUAACCGCUGAAAGCAUCUAAGCGGGAAACUUGCCUCAAGAUGAGAUCUCACUGGAACCUUGAGUUCCCUAAAGGGCCGUCGAAGACUACGACGUUGAUAGGUUGGGUGUGUAAGCGCUGUGAGGCGUUGAGCUAACCAAUACUAAUUGCCCGUGAGGCUUGACC